rnacentral:lncRNA from 10 species
AGAUCCGGCCUGAGCGCCUUCCGCGCUGCUCGGCCUCAAGGCGUGAGUCACCAAGGGCAAGUCCCGUGACUUGGUCCUCAGGGUCUCCGGCCUCGGCACAUUAAUCUUCAGACCCGGCUUUUUCGACGCCGAGCUGCCGCCCAGCCCCAAUGGCAGGGCCUUCCAGGGAGUCCCAGUCAGACUGCUCCCCAGCUCCCGCAGCUGCUCGGUCCCUGCAAAGCCCCCGGGAGCGUUUCUACUCUCCCCUGAGCCCACGCCAUCCCGUCACUCCUAGGAAACUUUUCGCGCAGAAACUCCUGGAGAACAGCCCCGGCCGCCAGGUACUCGCCCGCCCGGACCGCAAAGCCCACAGAGCUUCAAUUCGCAGGAAGGGGAGUGGGGAGCCCUGAGCUGGGGUGUUCCUGGAAGAGGUCGGGGAGCGGGGGGAGAGGCAUUCCAGGCUGGAGGCCUGGAAACGUUUGGAAGCUUUGCUAACCUUGGAGACCAUGUCAGGAAAGAAGCGUACCCAGGCCGUCUGCUGUGUGCCCACCCCGAUCCCCAUCAGUGCCCCACGCACUCGAGCUCUUCUUCGGCGUCUGCAGCCUCUUCAUCCGCGCGGAGAGGCGGAGGUCUCCCGGAAACAGUGUCCGACUGUGGCACCCCAGAGCGUCCAAUGCGAGCUCAGGCCUUUCCCGCAAGUCUGGAGUUUUCUUAUCCAGUUGAGGCCGCCUUCGCUGUACUCACUCUCUGCCUCCCACCCCAUCUUCUGCCACCCGACCUCCAUCUUUGAUGGUUAGCGCCUUCAGCCCUCAACAGCUUCGCACAACCAACCCCUAGAAGCCGUGGAGUCAGACCGGCCAGGGUGGGACCUAGGUUUUAACUCGGGUUCUGGCUACACACGCUGCGCCUCCAUACAGUUUGUCCCAGGUUUGGCAGCAGGCCGGCUACCUUCAGGAAUUCUUUGCUUUGGCUUCUGUCUGUUCCUGUCUGUUGGGCAAGUUUCUAGCUACCCCACUGAGAGAACCAUAGAACAAGGACCCUGGCAUGGCAUACAGACAAGGAAUGUUUGCUGAAUUAAUGGAGCUGGUGCCUUGCAGCUUCCCUUUUGUUCCUUGAAGUUGCCCUUGCUCUCCUCCACAUCAGCUCCCUCUCCUCCUCAGCUACUUAUUCCCCACCCUGGCUUCUUCUAGUCGCAGUCCCCAAGUACUUGCUGAAUCCUGUAUGGACAGCCUAAGCCUCCAUUUCUGACAAUUCCUGUGGCCCCACUCCAUUUGUUUUUUAGACUUCUCCCUCCUUUUUGUCCCCAUCCCCCAAGUUAUAAAACUAUAAUGCAA